rnacentral:rRNA from 1 species
UACGUAGGGGGCAAGCGUUGUCCGGAUUUAUUGGGCGUAAAGAGCGUGUAGGCGGUUUGGUAGGUCCGUUGUGAAAACUCGAGGCUCAACCUCGAGACGCCGAUGGAAACCAUCAGACUAGAGUCCGGAAGAGGAGAGUGGAAUUCCUGGUGUAGCGGUGAAAUGCGCAGAUAUCAGGAAGAACACCCGUGGCUAAGGCGGCUCUCUAGUACGGUACUGACGCUGAGACGCGAAGGCGUGGGGGAGCGAACAGG